AGGCGUGCGGGGUGCUAUACAUGCAAGUCGAACGCUUCUUUUUCCACCGGAGCUUGCUCCACCGGAAAAAGAGGAGUGGCGAACGGGUGAGUAACACGUGGGUAACCUGCCCAUCAGAAGGGGAUAACACUUGGAAACAGGUGCUAAUACCGUAUAACAAUCGAAACCGCAUGGUUUUGAUUUGAAAGGCGCUUUCGGGUGUCGCUGAUGGAUGGACCCGCGGUGCAUUAGCUAGUUGGUGAGGUAACGGCUCACCAAGGCCACGAUGCAUAGCCGACCUGAGAGGGUGAUCGGCCACAUUGGGACUGAGACACGGCCCAAACUCCUACGGGAGGCAGCAGUAGGGAAUCUUCGGCAAUGGACGAAAGUCUGACCGAGCAACGCCGCGUGAGUGAAGAAGGUUUUCGGAUCGUAAAACUCUGUUGUUAGAGAAGAACAAGGAUGAGAGUAACUGUUCAUCCCUUGACGGUAUCUAACCAGAAAGCCACGGCUAACUACGUGCCAGCAGCCGCGGUAAUACGUAGGUGGCAAGCGUUGUCCGGAUUUAUUGGGCGUAAAGCGAGCGCAGGCGGUUUCUUAAGUCUGAUGUGAAAGCCCCCGGCUCAACCGGGGAGGGUCAUUGGAAACUGGGAGACUUGAGUGCAGAAGAGGAGAGUGGAAUUCCAUGUGUAGCGGUGAAAUGCGUAGAUAUAUGGAGGAACACCAGUGGCGAAGGCGGCUCUCUGGUCUGUAACUGACGCUGAGGCUCGAAAGCGUGGGGAGCAAACAGGAUUAGAUACCCUGGUAGUCCACGCCGUAAACGAUGAGUGCUAAGUGUUGGAGGGUUUCCGCCCUUCAGUGCUGCAGCUAACGCAUUAAGCACUCCGCCUGGGGAGUACGACCGCAAGGUUGAAACUCAAAGGAAUUGACGGGGGCCCGCACAAGCGGUGGAGCAUGUGGUUUAAUU
rnacentral:rRNA from 1 species